AAGUAUCUUGUUUACCUUGGAAAACUCAAAGGGAAUAUUCCCUGUAAAUUGUACCUUUUUUAUUAUUUCGAGGAGUGUCUCCUAUUAUAAAAAGAAGACCCUAACAUUGUAAAAGGGGGACUCCUCUUCCUAUCUCUAAAAAAUAUGUAAACAUAUCUCUCCGAAGAAAGGAGAGAAUAUGUGAUCCAAUAUUUUCAUCAGAUCCAAAAAUGGGUCAUGAA
rnacentral:lncRNA from 1 species